UACGAAGGGUGCAAGCGUUGCUCGGAAUCACUGGGCGUAAAGCGCACGUAGGCGGAUUGCUAAGUCAGGGGGUGAAAUCCUGGAGCUCAACUCCAGAACUGCCUUUGAUACUGGCGAUCUCGAGUCCGGGAGAGGUGAGUGGAACUGCGAGUGUAGAGGUGAAAUUCGUAGAUAUUCGCAAAGAACACCAGUGGCGAAGGCGGCUCACUGGCCCGGUACUGACGCUGAGGCGCGAAAGCGUGGGGAGCAAACAGGG
rnacentral:rRNA from 1 species